AUACAUAAUUGAUUUUUAUAACAUGAAUUUUAGACUGGAUUCACGUCGCCAGAGCCCUCGGGUGGGGGAUCCACUCUUAAUGUAAGAGUGUAUUUGUGGCAGAUUUUUCUCCCACCUUUGCUAUUAUUUGUCAUUUAUUCAAUUGAUAUGAUUUUAGUUGAUGUAAUUUCGUAUUAAUUAUGUAUUAUAAUUGCAUAUUAAUUAUGAACUUUUAUGUCAAAUGUUUUAUUUGCAAAUUGUAUUUUUUU
rnacentral:lncRNA from 1 species